rnacentral:rRNA from 1 species
AUUGAACGCUGGCGGCAGGCUUAACACAUGCAAGUCGAGCGGAAACGGAGGUAGCUUGCUACCAGACGUCGAGCGGCGAACGGGUGAGUAACGCGUAGGAAUCUACCUAGUAGAGGGGGAUAGCCCGGGGAAACUCGGAUUAAUACCGCAUACGCCCUAAGGGGGAAAGGCAGGGGAGUCUUCGGACCUUGCGCUAUUAGAUGAGCCUGCGUCGGAUUAGCUAGUUGGUAGGGUAAAGGCCUACCAAGGCGACGAUCCGUAGCUGGUCUGAGAGGAUGAUCAGCCACACUGGAACUGAGACACGGUCCAGACUCCUACGGGAGGCAGCAGUGGGGAAUAUUGGACAAUGGGGGCGAACCCUGAUCCAGCCAUGCCGCGUGUGUGAAGAAGGCC